UCCAGGGUAGCCUAGUGGACAUGGCAUCUGCCCGGUAAGCGGAACACUGUGGGUUCGCUUUCCAUUCCUGGAC